GACGAAGGUGGCGAGCGUUGUUCGGAAUCACUGGGCAUAAAGCGCACGUAGGCGGUGUCAUAAGUCGGGUGUGAAAUCCCUCGGCCUAACCGAGGAACUGCGCCCGAUACUGUGAUGCUUGAGGACCAGAGGGGUGCAUGGAAUUUCCGGUGGAGCGGUGAAAUGCGUUGAUAUCGGAAGGAACUCCGGCGGCGAAAGCGAUGCACUGGCUGGUUUCUGACGCUGAGGUGCGAAAGCCAGGGGAGCAAACGGG
rnacentral:rRNA from 1 species